UAGGGAAUCUUCCACAAUGGACGCAAGUCUGAUGGAGCAACGCCGCGUGAGUGAAGAAGGUUUUCGGAUCGUAAAGCUCUGUUGUUGGAGAAGAAGGAUAGAGGUAGUAACUGGCCUUUAUUUGACGGUAAUCAACCAGAAAGUCACGGCUAACUACGUGCCAGCAGCCGCGGUAAUACGUAGGUGGCAAGCGUUGUCCGGAUUUAUUGGGCGUAAAGCGAGCGCAGGCGGAAGAAUAAGUCUGAUGUGAAAGCCCUCGGCUUAACCGAGGAACUGCAUCGGAAACUGUUUUUCUUGAGUGCAGAAGAGGAGAGUGGAAUUCCAUGUGUAGCGGUGGAAUGCGUAGAUAUAUGGAAGAACACCAGUGGCGAAGGCGACUCUCUGGUCUGCAACUGACGCUGAGGCUCGAAAGCAUGGGUAGCGAACAGG
rnacentral:rRNA from 1 species